GUGAACGCUGGCGGUAGGCCUAACACAUGCAAGUCGAACGGCAGCACAGUAAGAGCUUGCUCUUACGGGUGGCGAGUGGCGGACGGGUGAGGAAUACAUCGGAAUCUACUUUUUCGUGGGGGAUAACGUAGGGAAACUUACGCUAAUACCGCAUACGACCUACGGGUGAAAGCAGGGGAUCUUCGGACCUUGCGCGAUUGAAUGAGCCGAUGUCGGAUUAGCUAGUUGGCGGGGUAAAGGCCCACCAAGGCGACGAUCCGUAGCUGGUCUGAGAGGAUGAUCAGCCCCACUGGAACUGUGCCACGGUCCAGACUCCUACGGGAGGCAGCAGUGGGGAAUAUUGGACAAUGGGCGCAAGCCUGAUCCAGCCAUACCGCGUGGGUGAAGAAGGCCUUCGGGUUGUAAAGCCCUUUUGUUGGGAAAGAAAAGCAGCAGGUUAAUACCCCGCUGUUCUGACGGUACCCAAAGAAUAAGCACCGGCUAACUUCGUG
rnacentral:rRNA from 1 species